AUCCUUCGGUGAGUCACGAGGCUUGAAACGCGGAGGUGUGCGUGUGUUGAAUCCUCCGCCGUGCAUUCGAUAGGUUAUUUUGCGCUUGCCGCAAACUUGCUCCUAUGAAACAAUUGCUCUGCACAGUUGGGUGUCGGCUUGUCAUAUGGGUGGCGUCAGAUUAGAGAUAAAAGAUGGGAGGAAAACAAAUUUUAAAAAAAUAAGGUAUGCGUGGCCCACACGUAGAUCGGGGGACCAAGGGGGAAAGUCGAGGUUGAGGGUUGAGUCGCGCACUUCGGCGACUGCGGCAGCCUGCGUUCGGGAGGUGAAUCUGGAGAGAGGGGAGCUGUCGUGUAUUCUGAUAUUUUCUACCAUGCUUGAUUGAGUUGCUGCGACGGAGAUUGUUUUGACGAUCGUGCUCGGUCUGGAUUCGUGUGCGGUUUGGAAUGCGGGGGAAGCCUUGCUGGUCUGAACAAACCGACUCCGUGUAUCACAGCUGUUAUGGAUGUGUAUUUCUGGACGCAGCAUUGUAGUGCAGGGUCAAAACUUGCGCACAUCCACUGUUGUCGUGGGCGGAAUGUGCAAUUAUCUGCAUUUCAAUGCGGAUAAUUUGUUCUUUAGACUUUUGCACUUUAGGUGCGAGAUAAUGGCAGGUUGGAAAUGGAUAUUCGCAACCAUCUAGCAUGUGUUCUAGUAUUUGUGCUCCCCUGUGCCGCAGAGGAGAAGUAGGUUUGCAUACAACUGGCGUUGCCGAAUAGCUAUACUCUAAGCUGCGUGCAUUCUGCACAUGCGUGGCAAAUGCGUAUGUAACUCUUGAUGUAAUAUAAAUUUGACUUAAAGGUUCCUGGAAUGAGUUUCCCAUUCUUUACACGUCGCGUCCGCAAUGACUUUUGCGUUGAAAUUGUGUUCUAUUGUUUUUCAUCUCCCUUUCGUAACUUCACGUAACUUUGUGCGUAGGUAAGAGCGGUUUCGUGCACAUCCACAUCUGAGCGAACUGGAUUUACUGCCCGCAUUCCGUCAUGGGAGUGUUACAGUGAUCAAUUUUGAUUAUCAUUCCAGAACUGGUCGUAGUCGACUGCAGGACGUCUGCAACUCCUGACAACCAAUUUGUAAUGAAGAAAAAAAUCAUGGGUAUAAUGUAUCAGCACGCAAUCGACUUGUAGAUCUGUCGAUUCUGCUCCCUCAAUUGCGUAAUUCACUGCAGACCGCUGGGUACCGAGCUCUUCGGUCACUUAACAUCUCCUACUCCAGUUAGUAAAUCAACCUUUCAGAGAUUUGCGAAAUUAGCAAAUUUGAAAAAGCGUCCUACACAACAAAAAGGAAAAGCAGAAAGUGAUUAGGUCAGAUAGCUCCUCCACACAUGCUCGUCAAAGCAACGGGUGUGCUGGCAAGAACAGCAGGAAGAACCUCGGUGGAAAGCGAGCCGAAUUCGCCAUGUCCACUUCAGAAAAUUAGGUCUGAAGCUAUCGACAGGAGAAGAAAAAGCAGAAAAAGAGAAAUAAACUCUUGUCGCCAAACGCAGUAAUAGAGACUUUUCUUCCUUUUCUAAAAUCCGUUGAUCUAUAUUAAGAUUUUACACUUUUGCAGCAUCAGACCGCGCACGAGAUCAGUAUAUCCAAGAAGGAGGCUUCUCUUCUUUUUUAAGCAUUCGACAUAUCCAUUGGGAUCCUUCCUGAGUAACCGACUUUCUAAACUCAACCACUAGGAAGGAUUAUUUAUGUUGGAAAUGUGUUAUGUUCCAAGGUACAUUGUGUCUUAUUCCCUAUUCUAAUCAGAAUCGUGGCCUUCGUGUUCUUUGAUUCACCGCAUUCUAAUUUUUUAUAAUGUGGUAAUUCGAUCACCUUUGACAUCACUGCAUUUCCUUCAACAUCCACAGGAUUCAAGUGAGAUAUACGUUUGCAAGCAUCUCCCACUGGAGCUGAGUUCCGCACCCCAAAUUCAAGUCAGCAUCCAAGUCUUCAAGCAAUAGACAUCGAAAAGAGACCUCAUAUUGAAUUGGUCACAUGGAUCCCAACCUAGUUGGCACAGCCUUUCGGACCAAGGCUUUCUAAGGGCCGAGUGAUCACCCUGGAUUCAAUGACCCAGCCUGGCCCUAAUCCACUUAACAACGCCGUCACGUGGGCCACAAUACAACAUUCGCUGGGAAAUAUCCACGUGGAAGCCAGCGUGGCGGAGCAGGAAAAGCAUGAGGGGUGUAGCCAAAAAAGAGUGGAUCAUGGAGUAGAUGGAAGGGAUACUUCGUACAAAUACACCAAGUGGAUAAAGAGCCCUAUCCAGCAACUACCUCUGCCACAUAGGACGCGCCAGAAAUAUCCAUUGGGAAACGCAAUCCAUGCUUCCAAUGAGGAUCCGGUGAUGUGGCACGCUUGAUCCAGGACCCAUGCCAAUCCUCCCACCGCCGCGAAAGCUAAAACCUGGACUUUCUUUGGCGGGAGAGUUCGGGUCCCCUCUUGGUCCAGCUGCGCCCUUUCCAUGUCAGCACGUUCUGACUGCAUGCAAUGGUUGAGCUGGCAUUCUGAUCUGGCAGGUGCGUCUCACCCGGCCCUGAAGCUGUGCAGGUGCUGGUUGGAGACCACAUCCACAACAUUAGGAGGGGGGCUUCCUUUUUCUGUGAUCAUUGUGGGAAGAAAAAAGGCAUUUGUUGAAGAAGCAAUGUCUCCAUGUUUUUUUGUACUGCUUGUUUUAUUUCUCUUCAUUGCGUCAUUAGUUGGUCAGAGCUACACUCUGUUGGAGGCACCCUCAUCAUGGCUUCUUCUUGUAACUUAUAAGAGGGAGAUCAGAUUUUUCUAAUAUAAUUGAACCAUGACAGCAAGAGCACUUGGUUGAGGAAGGCCCGGAUCUGAUUUCCCUUCAAGACUUAUCGCACUACCAUGUUUUUUCAAUUAGCUGGACCUCACUUAAAUUUUGAAGCUCUGAGCUUAUGCUUUCAUUCUCAAUCCCAUUCCCAUUCCCAUUCAUUCAUCCACCUGUCCUCCCCUUAUCUUCACUGUCUCUUCCAUCUUCCCAAUGCAGGCACCUAGAUAUUUUUUGAGUUCUCUACGUGAUUACGUCAACUCAAAACAAGCCUGAUUCACUGGAUCAUAGUACCCUUUUUAUUCAUACCUUUGUUUUUUCUGCAUGUCCAUUGCUCGCCACAAUCCCUAAUUCCUCAACACAUGCCAUCCCCCCAUCCUCCCUCUAAAAGCCGUGUCCCAAUUGGUGUUCCCCAAGCGUGAAAUUGUCUCUCCCUCCAACCACUUCCAAGGAAUCCUUUGCCACACACUAGAAACAUGAUAUGCACAUAUAUAUAUAUAUAUAUAUAUAUAUAUAUAUUAUACACACACUUGCACAUACAAAACACAUUAUUGCUUCUUUCCCACAAGUUAUCAUUUGCAAAAAAAAGAAUAUUCAUGUGUUCCAAAAUACAAGUAUUAUUAUUGUAACAAAGUGAGCGAAAUGUUUUAGUGGGAGUUGGGAGGCGAUGCCAUGCUUUUGGCACAUGGGAUGUGGAUUUUUGUCCACCUCUUUUGGCCAAACCCAUCACCCCAUUAUAUCCACACGCACAAACACCCAGACAGGGACUCCGCGUGGACUCGUUCCUUUCCGCCCAAUUACCACCCAUCCUCGUGGCACAUCUCACGGUCGGACAAACAAACCCUCAUAGGCCCCCCGACGUGCCCUUGUGGCACUCGCUUUGAAGGCGGAAUCCGAUUCCAUCCCAGAAAUUUCAUCCAUGACGAAGGAGCUCAUGGAUGAAAACCUAAUUUUUAUAUCACUCCCAAUCGAUUUAACAUAUAUUAUUUUAGUACAAAACCCUAUUCAUGACUAUCCACCAAACUACCCAUGCCAGCCAAGUCAGAUGCUCGUGUUAUAAUCAACGGUUGCGAAGGACUGGUUCAUAAAAACCCACUACAAUUCAUUAAUGAAUUUAAAAAUCUUCAGACAGUUUUCGAUGGAAAUGACUGAGGAAAACCCUAAUUGAGAUAGAAAAACCCUAAUUUUUUUUUGCCGUAGUGGGGAGAGAGAGCCUGUGUGCACGCCACGAACUCUUCUUCCCAUACGACCUGUGUUGGUUUCUCGCUGCCAAGGUUUACCCUAAUUUGUCUGAGCUAUCCCAGGCGGUGGACAAGAUCGGGUCGGAGGAAUGGAUUUCAUGGAAGUAGCAAUCAGCGGAAGGCGAGAUUGGCUUCGGUCGACGUAGCUGCUGCUGAUGUGAGUGGCCACGCCGACCCGAGUUAACAACUAGGGUAUCAUCGCCCGAUUAUGCUUUCCUCCAUCAGUGGACCACUUUUGUUAUCCUCCACACCGGACAAAUCCAGCAGAUUUGGGGUGCAGAUUUCGAACUGCAAAAAUCAACCACCUCAGCGUGCUGCGAGGGUAUGGGAAAUCAGACAUGAGUAAAUGCUCUGACGUUUUCAUUUAUGGCAGGCGUGAAAAUGGGGCCCGGUCGCGGGUUACACACGGCAUGCACUGGGCCUAGGGCUGCUUCUUUUCUUCCUUAUCCAGAAUCCAGGAUCCGUAUGGGCCACAAUGGAAGAAACGGGUGGGAGGUUGGGUUGACUACCUGAAAUUAGUUUGUGUCACGAACCAAUUAAUUGUUAAGACCCAUUCAAUCCACCUGUCAGUUAAGGAGUCCUGGCUUCAAUGCGAACUCAUGCCGGUUGCCAGAACACGCAGUUUGUGUCGUUGGUAGAUUCUUCCUGCUGGAGCUCCAGAAAUUGAUUUGAGACGUGGGUUCUAGGUACUUGCGGCGUUGAACGGUGUUGCGCUGGAUUGCUGCGAAGAAAACGAGUUCAUCGUUUGACAUUGUUGUGACAAUCCAUUGACCCAAAAAGAACAACAGAAAAUACAAAAGGUGGUUGAGGUCGCAUGGAAAUUAGUGUUUCCCUCAUUCUGACUCGUUCUGAAAGUGUUGAUCUUCGGACAAACAGAUUUAGGGUUCAAAAUUCAGUGAAUGUGAAAUACCAAGUCCAGGAGCAAA